rfam:Oryctolagus cuniculus chromosome 2, whole genome shotgun sequence.
ACAGGCACUUGGCACCCUUGUGACGUCAUACAGAGAAGUCACAGGGCAGUCCCCGAGGGUCUGU